rnacentral:rRNA from 1 species
AAACGACUCUCGGCAACGGAUAUCUCGGCUCUCGCAUCGAUGAAGAACGUAGCGAAAUGCGAUACUUGGUGUGAAUUGCAGAAUCCCGUGAACCAUCGAGUCUUUGAACGCAAGUUGCGCCCGAAGUCGUCAGCGCGAGGGCACGCCUGCCUGGGCGUCGCAC